AUGCUGCUCAGGUCAUCCUCAUCUGCGUUCCUGCUAAACGGCGAUCCUGGAAUUCCUCUGAUCCACCGCCGUGGGCUGCGGCAAGAAGACCCCUUGUCCCCGCUGUUGUUUAUCCUAGCCAUCGACAUCCUCCACCGCCUCACGAAAGCUGCUGAAGAUGGCAUUCUUGCUCCCCUGCCUGGAAGAGAGCUGAAACUGUGCACCAGCAUGUAUGCUGACGACACAGUCAUCUUUGCAAACCUAGUCCGAGAAGAGAUCCACAAGCUGCUUGACAUCAUCACUCGCUUUGGGGAUGCUUCAGGUCUGCACCUCAACAUCAGCAAGUGCACUGUCACGCCCAUCAGAUGUGAUCACAUUAACCUCCACGAGGUUCUGCAUGCUUUUGGUGGACAGAUAGUUGCCUUCCCAAUAAGAUAUCUGGGAUUGCCAAUAAGCCUCGGAAGAGCCAGACUGCUUCAUUUUCAGUUCAUCCUGGACCGCAUCCGAGCUCGCCUGGCUGGCUGGAAAGGAAAGCUGAUGCAUAUUGCAGGGAGAAGAGUGCUUGUUCGAAGCGUCCUAUCUGCAAUCCCAACAUUUGCACUCUCUGUUCUUCGGCUGCCCAAGCUUCUUUUUAAAGAGAUUGAUAAAGCUCGCCGAAAGUUUCUUUGGACGCAAGAGGAUGAGCUCAGCGCCGGCAAAUGCAAGGUUGCCUGGAAACACAUCUGCACAUAG
rnacentral:rRNA from 1 species